rnacentral:rRNA from 1 species
UACGAAGGGGGGCUAGCGUUGUUCGGAAUUACUGGGCGUAAAGGGCGCGUAGGCGGCUUCGCUAGUCGGGCGUGAAAUGCCUGGGCUUAACCCGGGGAAUUGCGUUCGAUACUUCGAGGCUAGAGUGUGGGAGAGGUUGGUGGAAUUCCCAGUGUAGAGGUGAAAUUCGUAGAUAUUGGGAAGAACACCGGUGGCGAAGGCGGCCAACUGGACCACAACUGACGCUGAGGCGCGAAAGCGUGGGGAGCAAACAGG